rnacentral:rRNA from 1 species
AUGGUGGAAGAUGUGCUUACUAAAGAAGAAAGGCACGUGGAAUUUAGAGAUAUACGUUGCUUUAACCUUGCAUUAUUGGCUAAACAAGCUUGUCGUCUCACUGAUAAUUGAGAUUCCCUAUGUGCACAGAUAUUGAAGGAGAAAUAUUACCCAAAUGGUGAUCUUAUGUGUGCAACUUUGAAAAACAAAGCUUCAUAUACUUGGCAAUGUAUUAUGGCUGGUGUUGAAACCCUGAAACUUGGGCAUAUAUGGAGAGUCUGGGAUUGGUGGAAAAAUCAAAAUUUGGAGGAUGAAUGGAUCCCACAAUCUCUAUCAAGGAAGGUGAUUACAACUAGAUUAACAACCUCCUGA